rnacentral:rRNA from 1 species
GGCGGACUGGUGAGUAACGCGUAAGGAACCUGCCUUCUAGAGGGGAAUAACAAUGAGAAAUCAUUGCUAAUACCGCAUAUGCCGAGAGAAUCACAUGGUACAAUCGGGAAAAGAGUAAUCUGCUAGAAGAUGGCCUUGCGUCUGAUUAGAUAGUUGGUGGGGUAACGGCCCACCAAGCCUUCGAUGGAUAGGGGUUCUGAGAGGAAGGUCCCCCACAUUGGAACUGAGACACGGUCCAAACUCCUACGGGAGGCAGCAGUGAGGAAUAUUGGUCAAUGGACGAGAGUCUGAACCAGCCAAGUAGCGUGAAGGAUGACUGCCCUAUGGGUUGUAAACUUCUUUUAUACGGGAAUAAAGUGAGGCACGUGUGCCUUUUUGUAUGUACCGUAUGAAUAAGGAUCGGCUAACUCCGUGCCAGCAGCCGCGGUAAUACGGAGGAUCCGAGCGUUAUCCGGAUUUAUUGGGUUUAAAGGGAGCGUAGGCGGACGCUUAAGUCAGUUGUGAAAGUUUGCGGCUCAACCGUAAAAUUGCAGUUGAUACUGGGUGUCUUGAGUACAGUAGAGGCAGGCGGAAUUCGUGGUGUAGCGGUGAAAUGCUUAGAUAUCACGAAGAACUCCGAUUGCGAAGGCAGCUUGCUGGACUGUAACUGACGCUGAUGCUCGAAAGUGUGGGUAUCAAACAGGAUUAGAUACCCUGGUAGUCCACACAGUAAACGAUGAAUACUCGCUGUUUGCGAUAUACAGUAAGCGGCCAAGCGAAAGCGUUAAGUAUUCCACCUGGGGAGUACGCCGGCAACGGUGAAACUCAAAGGAAUUGACGGGGGCCCGCACAAGCGGAGGAACAUGUGGUUUAAUUCGAUGAUACGCGAGGAACCUUACCCGGGCUUGAAUUGCAACUGAAUGAUGUGGAGACAUGUCAGCCGCAAGGCAGUUGUGAAGGUGCUGCAUGGUUGUCGUCAGCUCGUGCCGUGAGGUGUCGGCUUAAGUGCCAUAACGAGCGCAACCCUUAUCGAUAGUUACCAUCAGGUUAUGCUGGGGACUCUGUCGAGACUGCCGUCGUAAGAUGUGAGGAAGGUGGGGAUGACGUCAAAUCAGCACGGCCCUUACGUCCGGGGCUACACACGUGUUACAAUGGGGGGUACAGAAGGCAGCUACACGGCGACGUGAUGCUAAUCCCGAAAGCCUCUCUCAGUUCGGAUUGGAGUCUGCAACCCGACUCCAUGAAGCUGGAUUCGCUAGUAAUCGCGCAUCAGCCACGGCGCGGUGAAUACGUUCCCGGGCCUUGCACACACCGCCCGUCAAG